GAUGAACGCUGGCGGCGUGCCUAAUACAUGCAAGUCGAGCGAAUGGAUUAAGAGCUUGCUCUUAUGAAGUUAGCGGCGGACGGGUGAGUAACACGUGGGUAACCUGCCCAUAAGACUGGGAUAACUCCGGGAAACCGGGGCUAAUACCGGAUAACAUUUUGAACCGCACGGUUCGAAAUUGAAAGGCGGCUUCGGCUGUCACUUAUGGAUGGACCCGCGUCGCAUUAGCUAGUUGGUGAGGUAACGGCUCACCAAGGCAACGAUGCGUAGCCGACCUGAGAGGGUGAUCGGCCACACUGGGACUGAGACACGGCCCAGACUCCUACGGGAGGCAGCAGUAGGGAAGCUUCCGCAAUGGACGAAAGUCUGACGGAGCAACGCCGCGUGAGUGAUGAAGGCUUUCGGGUCGUAAAACUCUGUUGUUAGGGAAGAACAAGUGCUAGUUGAAUAAGCUGGCACCUUGACGGUACCUAACCAGAAAGCCACGGCUAACUACAUGCCAGCCGCCGCGGUAA
rnacentral:rRNA from 1 species